AGUGAACGCUGGCGGUAGGCCUAACACAUGCAAGUCGAACGGCAGCACAGUAAGAGCUUGCUCUUACGGGUGGCGAGUGGCGGACGGGUGAGGAAUACAGCGGAAUCUACUUUUUCGUGGGGGGUAACGUAGGGAAACUUACGCUAAUACCGCAUACGACCUACGGGUGAAAGCAGGGGAUCUUCGGACCUUGCGCGAUUGAAUGAGCCGAUGUCGGAUUAGCUAGUUGGCGGGGUAAAGGCCCACCAAGGCGACGAUCCGUAGCUGGUCUGAGAGGAUGAUCAGCCACACUGGAACUGAGACACGGUCCAGACUCCUACGGGAGGCAGCAGUGGGGAAUAUUGGACAAUGGGCGCAAGCCUGCUCCAGCCAUACCGCGUGGGUGAAGAAGGCCUUCGGGUUGUAAAGCCCUUUUGUUGGGAAAGAAAAGCAGCAGGUUAAUACCCCGCUGUUCUGACGGUACCCAAAGAAUAAGCACCGGCUAACUUCGUG
rnacentral:rRNA from 1 species